GACGAACCGAGCGAACGUUGUUCGGAAUCACUGGGCUUAAAGGGCGCGUAGGCGGGCUGCCGCGUCCGGGGUGAAAUCCCACGGCUCAACCGUGGAACGGCCCCGGGUACGGGCGGCCUCGAGGGGGGUAGGGGCGUGCGGAACUGUGGGUGGAGCGGUGAAAUGCGUUGAUAUCCACAGGAACUCCGGUGGCGAAGGCGGCACGCUGGACCCCUUCUGACGCUGAGGCGCGAAAGCGUGGGUAGCAAACAGG
rnacentral:rRNA from 1 species